rnacentral:rRNA from 1 species
UACAGAGGUCCCAAGCGUUGUUCGGAUUCACUGGGCGUAAAGGGUGCGUAGGCGGUCGGGUAAGUCUGAUGUGAAAUCUCACAGCUUAACUGUGAAACUGCAUUGGAUACUAUCCGGCUCGAGGAAUGGAGGGGAGACUGGAAUACUUGGUGUAGCAGUGAAAUGCGUAGAUAUCAGGAAGAACACCCGUGGCUAAGGCGGCUCUCUAGUACGGUACUGACGCUGAGACGCGAAAGCGUGGGGAGCGAACAGG